GCGACGAUAGUUUAAGGGUAGAAUUGAAGCUUCCCAUGUCCAUUGCAUAGUCUGCUUCAGGCCCGAGUUCGAGUCUCGGUCGUCGCA